GAAAGAUCUGAGAUAGGAGAAAACCUUGAACAUGAACAUAUUUUCCUUUUGUUGAAUUUUAAGGCUGCUGCAGCCCUCACCCUCAUUUGUAACGACUUGUGGGUGUUUUCCUGAAACUGCAGAGAUUAGUUUACAUUUUCAACCCUUUAAAAAGUUGAAAGUUAUCCUUUCAACAUUGCCUGUGAAAACGUUUUCAUUUUUCUUUCAAUAGAAUCUACACAUCACUAAGAAAAUAUAGAGGGCAGCUAUAGCUCUAUAAGAAAACUGGCUAAGUAGAGGCCGAGAAGAAGAUAGCAAUAUUGAAGUUAGGUUCUUAGAUAGCUACUAAACCUAGCCAGCCAGAAACAUCAUCCCUUCUCAGAGAGCGUUGUGUACCUGAAGUACCGGGAUCUCAAAAUGCAUUUCUUAAUGUAGCUCCUAUAAAUUCAUGAUGAUGAGAGAAUACAAAAGAGACACUAUCCUGUCCAAGAAGAACUUACAAACUAAAUACACUUGAGAAUAACCCAAGAGACUUUAUGUUUCAAGAGAACAGUGAAGAUAUUUCCACUCCCUUUCUCCUCCUAGAAAUUAUUUUAAAAACAACAAGGAAAAAAAAUGAAAACACAAAAUCCAUCUUUGAUGAAACCCUGAAUCUUACUAUAUGAAGAGAGAAAGCAUAUGAAGAAAGGAGGGAAACUCCAGGAGAUCCAACAAAAACAGGAGCUACUGGCUGGAAGAACUUAAUGGAGGUGUUGCUGUUGCCUGCCUCAGGGGAGACAGUUUGGAGUCUGAGUCAGUUAAGGUGAAGAAGAACAAGAGCGGGAGAAGGAGGCAGAAGAGGAUGAAAGAAAGGAAGCUGUGAUGAGGGUAUGGGACUGAGAUUGAGACUUGUUUGAAAGUCUAUAUAAAGACAAGCGGCACCUCCCAGCUUCCCAUUCCCAUCCCGCUCAGCACAAUCAACAGCUCCCACUGCUACCCAUGGAGGAGUCAAAAGGUGUAGUCUCUGAAGAAAUGGGAACAAUCCCACAACUAGAAGACUCUAGUUCAAGAAGGUAAUUGACGAGGCGUGAAAGUAAAAACUGAGAAGUGAAGGGAAAGUCUGUGUGCUGAAAGUGAGACUCCCUACACAAUUUCAGAGCAACAGCAACCAGACAUAGUUGUACCCUUAAGGCUGGAGUCUGAAGUAUUACUUUUUGAAGAAGCCAAGUUACCCCAGAUUAAAGAUACUGAUAUUUCAGGUUCUCCAGUGAAAAAGGCCAUCCUGUUUCUCUACUGAGAAGCCCAUCAUUAACAAGCAACACACAACAACUGAGUUUCCCAUUAGUUUCCCAGUGCUUCAUCCUAAGUAUAAACAGAUAUUUGAAAAAAGCACUCUAGAGGAACAGGAGAGAAGAAAUGAAAAAGAUAACCUUGCUGGAAGAAGAAAUCGCAUUAAGAAUCAGAGAAAGAUAAUGAGAUGGUGCACUAAUGAAACACAAGUGGGAGGGCAUAUUAAAAAAUUAAAGAGUCAUCAUAGAUUAAUCACUCAUCAAAAUAAAAAAUAGUAUAGGUGAAAUUAAAAUUUUGGUUGAAAAAAAUUAGUAUGAGAAUCAAACUUGAGAAAUUUCCCAGAAACUAGAAUAAAAGAAUCAAGAGAUGAAUAAUAA